rnacentral:lncRNA from 1 species
UCCGUCCACCUUCCGGAAGUCAGGGCCGCGGCGCUUCUGGUCCCGGAGACUUGGGGCUCCCGGGCUUCUGAGCGGCUCGGGUUCCGCGCUGCCGGCAGGGCUUGGGGGCGCCUUAGAGCCGAACCCCGUUUUUUCAGGAAAGGGCGCUGCGACCACCCCCGUCCCGGGCCUCAGCCCCUCUGCUGCAGACCCUCGGGAUCGUCGCUGGUAGGAGCUCUGUCCCCCGUGUCUGUGUCCAGGACCCCCGAAGCGCCGCGCCUAGGAACCCCCUAGCGCUGGGAGCCCGGCCCUGCUCGACCACGGGCUUUGGGCUGGAGGCGUCAUCGUCGCCACAGCGAACGCUUAUUUGGCACCGAGUGUCCGCCAGGCAUCGCUCUAAGCGCUUUAUACCCAUAACUCACUUCAUCUCAGCCACCCGGUUCCGUAGAAGCGUUUCAUCCGCGUUUUACAGACGUGUGCAGGAAAGAUUCUGAAGCUUGGCGGAGAGGGGUGUGUGAGUGGACACCAGUGAAGUAACGGUUUUUGUGUUACGAUGAUUUCUGUUUUCCUCUGCUGCCCUGUAAUGGCAGGAACUCGGAUAGUCUGGUCUUCAGACCAGGAGGACUCCCAGGAGAGAACGGAGAGCCAGUGUGCUGUGUGUCACGGUCCCUGGAUGAACGUUUGUGGAACUGGAUUGAAUUAAACAAGACGUGCAAAGCAAGUGGUUCACGAGGGUCUUGCUCCGUCGCCCAGUCUGGAGUGCAGUGGCAAGAUCUCUGCUCAGUGCAGCCUUGAACUCUCAGGCUCAAGAAAUCUUCCCGCCUCAGCCUCCCAAAGUGCUGGGAUUACAGAUUCGAUUGCUGUAGGGACCCCGUGGGUGUGGAAUCAGACAGUAUUGGUCCUUUCAUGACUGGCUUAUUUCACAAAACCCGAUGCCGUCGAGGUCCAUCCAUGCUGAGAUAUUUACGGAGCAUCCCCAGCUGCUGGAUGCUGGGACCCACCAGUGGGCAAGAGGGCCGUGCCCACCCCUUCCUGGAAGAGACACUCACUCAGUAAAUGCAGAGAUUCAGUGUUGGGGUAACCCCAGCACACAGCCCUGAGGGAGGAAGCCCAGUGAUUUGAUCGGAUUUGCUUUUCUCUUCUGCCUCGGAUUCUGUCCAACCCCUGGAAGGACCUCUGAGGUGUCCCGUGGCUGGUUCUAGGCCCCAUUCAAGCCUCCUCCUCCAGGAAGCCUUCCCAGUCCUGGGCAUCUGUAGCCAGCUCGGUGUUUCUCACCUGGGGCCUGGGACGUCUCCCAUUCUGAACUGCCGUGUUUUGGGUUUACUGUUCUCUGGCUUUUGGUCCCAGCCGGACGGUGGCCUCUUGUGUUCAGGGACAAGGCAAGGAGCAUCCAUGCACCCCCACAGUACCCAGGCUGGGUCUGUGCCCGCCAGGCCCCCGGCAAAGCUUGGAUGAUCCGGGCUGGGCUGUUCUCCUGCUGCUCUCCUGCUGCUGGCCUCGCUGUAUCAGCUGAUGGCCAUCGCGCCUCCUGCACCCGUCAUCCCGCCCUGCACGCCCCCGCCACGUGGAUGAGCUCCCUGGGGAGUUAAUGGCUAAUGGAGUCUCCGCUCUCUCUUGUCAAAUGCAGCCAUCAUCCGCUGGUGCUUUAAGGGACUCUCUCCCGUCCCCACCCUAUUCUCAGGUGGCUCCUACCGACACCACCUAAUGGUGAACCCCAACACGAGGACACAGGCAGUGCCCUCUCAGGACCACUGUGGGUGCCACCAGGCACGACUUCCUAAACACCCACAGAGCAAAAACCUGGAAAUUCAGCCGAGGCACUGGGACCCCAACCUCUCCCAGAGUGGCCCCAGCUCCACGGCGUCUGCAUGGCUCUGGCCGUGAGCAGAGCAGCCCCGACCUCCGUCCUGACCCAGGGCGCCGGAGCGCCACUGCGGAUCUCACCACCACACAAGCCAGACCUGCUAGGAAGCCCUUCCCGGCCACCAGCUCUCGGGCGAUGCACACAACAGGGCCUUUUGAAUUCCCUGAGGUUAAGGUUCCCCUUGAGUCUCCUGGGCUACAAGCAAAUCCCCCGAGGGGAGAAGUCCAGGCUGACACAGCCUCCUGCACCCCUGCCUUGGGAGGCCACACCUCGUUUGCCUCUAGAACCGACGACUGGGGAGCACUGUUUGCAGAGUUCUCUCUCUCUGGAACGGUGAAGGAAUCUGAAGCCCAGAGAGGGAAAACAAUGCCUCCUGGGUCACACAGCCCAUCAGGGGCAGGGCAGGGACGAACGGCGAGAAAAGGACCAGCGCGAGAGGAGAUCCCCAGCAGUGAUUCCUCAGCCAAGCCCAGCGUCUACCCACAUCCACACCUCACAGCCACCUGAUGGGGAAGGCACCAUUGCCCCUUUUCAAAGGUGAGAAAACAGAGGCUCAGAGAGGUUCAGCAACUUCUCCCACAGCUACUUCGUUGUAGAACUGCAGUUCCAGGUGUCCCCGAGCUCUCCCUUCCCGAGCCAUCUGCUCCUGCCCUCCUAUCCGAGCCCUGGCCCUCCCAGUCAAAGCCGGGUAGUGGCUGUUCAGAAGCCUUGGGGCUAGUCAAUCCCAGCUGUCUCGGACCAGGGCCCCCCCCAGGAGGAGACCCUGAAGGAUGCAGUUGAGAAUAUGUGCUUUCUUUGGUAGGUGAUCUCAGGAAUUGCAGGGGAAAGAGGGGGAGCGUGUUAGUGUAGGCUCUCCGGAGAAGCAGAACCAACGCACAGAGGAGAUUUAGGAUGAGGAAUCUGGUUUAUGUGACUCUGGGGGCUGAGAAGGCCCACCAUCUGUGUUGCAAGCUGGAAACCCAGGGAAGCCUGAGGUGUGAUUCAAACUCAGCUCAGGUCUGGAGGCCUGAGAACCAGGGCAGCCGAUGGUGGACAUCCAGUCCAGGGGCAAGAGAUGACGAGAUGUCCCGGCUCCAGUGGCGAGGCAGGAAAUGAGGGGUGAACUCCUCCUCCCUCUGCUGUCUGUUCUAUUCAAGUUCUUGAGGGAUUGGAUUAUGCCCAGCCACUUGGGGAGGGCAGUCCACCUUCCUGAGUCCACAAUUCAAAUGCUGAUCUAAUCCAGAAACACUCUCACAGACACAGUGUGUAGUCUGGGCACCCCACAGUGCACUUAAGUGGACACAUAAAAUUAACCAUCCCAGGGAGUGAGAUGGGUAAGGGAAGAUGGGCCACAGUGGGUGUGUCUCCAUGCCUACCCCCACUGUGGGCAGCUGCUGGAGCACACGCCUCAAAGUCUUCCCUGAGGGAGAGGGAGCUGAGGUGUUUAUAUCCCAGCUCUGUCAGGCAUUGGCUGAAUGUCCACACUCCUGGAUCACCGCCUCUCAUCCUCAUGAUGUCCCAUGGUCCUCAUUUCACAAGUGAGCUCUGGGUACAUGGGGAGCAUCAGUCACACCCUGGGUCAGUACCUCAGCUGUCUCUCACAUGACAUCCUCAUUAUCCACACUGCAAAGCCAACCAUCCCUAUGAUGGGUUCAUUGUGGAUCAUGACUUAGUGGGUCAAGAGUUUGGAAGUGGCUCAGCUGGGCGGUUCUUCUGCUCCAUGUGGCUGCCAGAUGGUACCCUGCUGGUGGGCAGUCUGGUCUAGAGGGUCCAUGAUGGCUUUACUCACAUGCCUGGCAUCUUGACAGGGACAGCUGGAAGGCAAGGUUCAGCUGGGACUGUCCACAGAGCUCCUCCCUGUGGCCUUUCCAGCAUGGUGGUCUCAGGGUAGCUGGACUUCCUGCAUGACAGCUCAGGGCUCCCAGAGCUACUGUCCCAAGAGAUAGAAGGUGGAAACUGCCAGUCUCUUAGGCUAGGACCAGAAACCAGCACCCCUGCACCCACAGCCUUUUGGUAGUGAUGAAAUAAACAUAAGAUUUAUCAUUUUAAUCAUUCGUAAGUGGGAUUAAAUACAUUUACAAUAUUGUGUAACCAUCGGCACUGUCUAUAUCUAAAACUUUUUCAUCAUCUGCAAUAAAAACUCUGUAUGCAUUAAA